rnacentral:rRNA from 1 species
CAGGGAAUCUUGCCCAAUGGGCGAAAGCCUGAGGCAGUGACGCCGCGUGCGGGAUGAAGGCCCUUGGGUUGUAAACCGCUUUCAGCAGGAACGAAACUGACGGUACCUGCAGAAGAAGCCCCGGCCAACUACGUGCCAGCAGCCGCGGUAAGACGUAGGGGGCGAGCGUUGUCCGGAUUUAUUGGGCGUAAAGGGCCAGUAGGCGGCUGAGUUAGUCGGGUGUGAAAUCUCCAGGCUCAACCUGGAGGCGCCACCCGAUACUGCUCUAGCUAGAGUGUGGUAGAGGAGCACGGAAUUUCCGGUGUAGCGGUGAAAUGCGCAGAUAUCGGAAGGAACACCAGUGGCGAAGGCGGUGCUCUGGGCCAUAACUGACGCUGAAUGGCGAAAGCGUGGGUAGCAAACAGG